rnacentral:rRNA from 1 species
AGCUCCAAUAGCGUAUAUUAAAGUUGUUGCGGUUAAAAAGCUCGUAGUUGGAUUUCUGUCUGUGAGCGGUAGUCCGGCCAUUGUGUCUGGUACUUGUCGCGCCAUAGGCAUCUUCCUGGGGACUGUGUCUGCUCUUCGCUGAGUGGCUCAUAAUCCAGGACUUUUACUUUGAAGAAAUAGGAGUGUUUCAAGCAGGCAUGCGCCGUGAACACGUUAGCAUGGAAUAAUAGCAUCGGACCUCGUUCCAAAGCUGUUGGUUUCUUGGACCGAGGUAAAGG